rnacentral:rRNA from 1 species
AAUGACGCUGGCGGCAGGCUCACACGAUCGAAAGUCGAGCGGGGGAAGGCCGCUUGCUACUGGACCUAGCGGCGGACGGGUGAGUAAUGCUUAGGAAUCUGCCUAUUAGUGGGGGACAACAUCUCGAAAGGGAUGCUAAUACCGCAUACGUCCUACGGGAGAAAGCAGGGGAUCUUCGGACCUUGCGCUAAUAGAUGAGCCUAAGUCGGAUUAGCUAGUUGGUGGGGUAAAGGCCUACCAAGGCGACGAUCUGUAGCGGGUCUGAGAGGAUGAUCCGCCACACUGGGACUGAGACACGGCCCAGACUCCUACGGGAGGCAGCAGUGGGGAAUAUUGGACAAUGGGCGCAAGCCUGAUCCAGCCAUGCCGCGUGUGUGAAGAAGGCCUUAUGGUUGUAAAGCACUUUAAGCGAGGAGGAGGCUACUUUUGAUAAUACCUAGAGAUAGUGGACGUUACUCGCAGAAUAAGCACCGGCUAACU